rnacentral:lncRNA from 1 species
CACAGUCUCACGCUAUCACUCUAUCAUCCAGACUGGAGUGCAGUGACACAAUCAUGGCUCACUGCAGCCUCGGCCUCCCAGGCUCAGGUAUCCUCCCGCCUCAGCCUCCCAAGUAGCUGAGACUACAGGAAUGUCCCACCACACCAAGCUAAUUUUUUUUUUAAAAAUUUUACAGAGACGAAGUUUCGCCAUGUUGCCCAGGCUGGUCUCAAACUCCUGGGCUCAAGUGAUCCGCCUGCCGCCCAAAGCGCUGCAAUUACAAGCAUGAGCCACCACGCCCAGCCGUGAAAAAUUAAUUCUUAAAAAAGCCGUGUUUAGCUCAGCCAUCCCCCACUGAAGCGAACUGUGUCAGUGCACUGUCAGAUGCAGCUUUGGAAGACAAUUGCUGUCCCUGCUGGCUUCUUCCCUCACGUGCCUGUGUUUCAAUGCCUGAGGGCUCCUCUGAGCCCACACACAGGACUGGCCAGAAUUGCUGGGAGGUAACACCCCAGGACAGCCUCAACAGAUGAGGGCUAGGAGCUGGUGAGUCCACCCGCCAGCCUCCUCACCGCUGCACAGUCUCUCAGAGGGGCCUUCACAGGACUGCGGCCCAGUUGUCCUCUGAGGUAUCCUGCUCGGCAAUGUGCCCUAUGUGGCUUUUCUCUCUUCCCUGUCUCACUUCCUUACUCUGCCUCCUAGAAUCAUUUCUUAAAUAGAUGAUUUGCCCAAAAUCCUUUGCCUCAGGGUCCACUUUUGGGCUAACCGAACUAAGACAUCUACAAAAUUUUAGAUAGGAAUAGACUUUAAAGGGAUCCUUUGACUUUUUUUUUUUGAAACAGCAUCUCACAUGGAGUCUUGCUGUUGGGAAAAGCUGAGUGUUGGGAGAAGCUGAGGCAGGGCUUGCACGUCUGACAUAAUGUAAAAGAGUCUUGGAACGUGUCCAGGGUCCAUGGUCUAAAACUCCUUGUGGCCUUUGGAACACCAAGCUCUGUGCUAAAGGGUGGAAGGCUGCCCUGGCACAACAUAAUCUAAGCCCAGGGCAUAAAAUCCCUCAUGGCUUGGAUAGACUCCAGGGCUCGUGGCUCUGGAAUGUGUCUAGACUUGCUGGCUCCUUGCUCGUUGCUCUCCCAGGAUCGAUUGUAUCUUGAGUUAAAAGAACCUGCUCUCCAUUAUCUCAAGUAGCAGAGCAAAUGCUAAACCAUCACAGCUGUAAAUCAUGUGCUUAAUGCAACGCACCCUUUUGACCUCCACAUUCUCACCACCUGUUUCUUUGUUGGAUUACCAAUAAAUAGUGUGGGCUCCCAGAGCAUGGGGCCUUUGCAGCCUCCACAAUCGCGAUGGUCCCCUGGUCCCACUCAUCUCUCUCAAACUGUCUUUUCUCAAUCCUUUGACUCCACCGGACUUUGUCACCCCCACGAACUGGUGUUGGGUCUGAUCACCCCAACACUUGCUCUGUUGCCCAGGCUGGAGUGCAGUGGCGCCAUCUGGGCUCACUGCAACCUCCGCCUCCCGGGUUCAAGUGAUUCUCUUGCCUCAGCCUCCCAAGUAGCUGGGAUAACAGGCACCUGCCAAAACACAUGGCUAAUUUUUGCAUUUUUAGUAGAGACAGGGUUUUGCCAUGUUGGCCAGGCUGAUCUCGAAUUCCUGACCUCAAGUGAUCCGCCCACCUCAGCCUCCCAAAGUGCUGGGAUUACAGGCAUGAGCCACUGCGCCCAGCCUCACCUUCAUUAAGUUUCUAAAACAACUUUGUGUUUCUCACCAAUUCUAAGUCUGUCUAUGCCUGCCAGCCAUUGUCCCUGAUAGGAAGUGUAGGGUGUCCAAGAUGACAUUCAAGGCCCAUGUGACUUGAACCCAAUAAUUUACCUUACCGUUGUGCCGAACUCCUAUCCACUCCAAUGGGGAUAGCCCCAGGCUCAAGAGACCAAAGAAGAGACCUCGAGCCAGCAAAUGAGACAUGGGGCUUUACUGGGGCCUUACAUACAGGGAAGAGAGCCCAGUGGUGGUGGGCUGGACAGGAGAACCAUCAAUCACUUACGGAAAGCACAUGGCUUAUGUAUCAUUUUCACUCGGCACCCUCCCUCAACAACCUCCACCUGGCAACCUUCACAUAUUCCCAAAACAAAGGGCUUUGACCCCUGUACAUCCCAGAUCCAUGGGAUAGGCCAGGGCUCAGAUGUUCCUUAGAGAUAAGGAAUGAAUCUUCAGGUUGGCCACCCCUGGAUUCCUUGGCUCAGAACUCCAAACUGCAUUCAGGUGCAUCUGCUAUACAGAGUCAUUCUCAGGGUUUGCUGACGUUAUUGCCAUCAGGUGAGUUUACCAUGCACUUACUAACCUCUGAGCAGUGCCUCCCAUGUUCCCUACAUUCCAGUCACAGCAAAAGUCCUGCUUCCCUGCAUGUACCAUGCACUUUGCAUUUCAGCGGCUCUCUGCCCCCUCUGCCUGCAGUGAGUGAGGCCUCCAUGGCAAAGUCCUUCCUUCAGCUGAAAUGGUUUUCAAAGUUCCCCGAGAGCCCCUAUCCCAGACAGAAUUAAUCACUCCUCCUCUGAGCUCCCAUAACUCUUCCCACACGCCUCUACUCUAGUGUAUACAUUCUAGUAUAGUUAUUGUGAACAUAUAUUAGGGCCUACGACAUGAGCAAUAUUUUAUUCAUCUUAAAUAGGAUAGGGCAGAAUACCUAGCCCAAGACUUGGCGGGGCACGGUGGCUCACGCCUGUAAUCCCAGUACUGGGAGGCCAAGGCGGGCAAAUCACUUGAGCUCAGGAGUUUGAGACCAGCCUGGGCAACAUGGUGAAACCCCAUCUCUACCAAAAAUCCAAAAAUUAUCCGGGUGUGGUGGCACGUGUCUGUGGUCCCACCUACUCAGGAGGCUGAGGUGGGAGGAUCACUUGAGCCUGGAAGGCAGAGGUUGCAGUGAGCUGAGAUCACACCACUGCACUCCAGUCUAGACAACAGAGCAAGACUCUCAAAAAACAAAAACAAAAACAAAAACAAAACUAGCCCUUGAUUGGGGUGUGGAAGCGAGUAGUUCAUUUGACACAAGUAUGAAAUUAGCUGUAUGGAGUGUCUCAAUAGUUACCCCAGGUCUUUGGGAGUCUGGUAACAGUCUUCAUCAAAAUGGAAGACUUGUGUUUAUUUUAAAAUGUCAUGUAUAGCUGCUGUCUCUCUCAUAAUGCAUUAAUGUUAAUGAAAUAAUGUUAUUGGCUUUGCCCAAAUUUUUAAGUAAAAUGGAUAUGCCUUAAAAACCUAUCUUCUUUUUUCUGUGGCUUCUUAUGCCCUCUGGCCUGCCAAUAAUCCCGUGGUAGAGGUACCCAGGCUGAGAUGCAGGGAACUAGAGUGUUCCUCUUCCUGACCCUGGAGCUAAGGGCAUCAUUUGGUUGGCUUUAACUAAGAGUCCCAGGAGAACCCUCCUGAUUGCUUGAGCCCAGGAGUUCGAGAUCAG